rnacentral:lncRNA from 1 species
CCUCCCGUUUCAUCAAUGACUGAUAAAACUCAACUAACUGUGGAGCUCGGUGAACUUUGUCGUCAUCCAUUGCCCCUCUUGAUAGACCUCUUGGUGGAGGAGGUGGAGGAGGCGGUCCUCCUGGUGGACGAGGAGGGGGAGGAGGAAUGGAUGGAGCAGAUGGUAUUCCAUUCGCAGGAUUUGAAUUUGUGCUAACAGAACCACCACCUGAUGGUUUAGGAGGCGGCCUAGGCACCCGAGUA